CAGAGUUCCUGCAAAAGAAGAAGAGUGAGAGAGAAGGACUGAGAGAAGGUUUGAGAGAGAGAAAACGGAUUUGUCGGAGUUUUCGUCGGAGAGUCGCCGACGGAAUCCAUUCCCUACUAAGACCUGUACUCUGGAGCCCUUCUUGGAGUGAAGUAAGAACUCGUGUGGAGAUUUCCUCCUCUUUCCUCAAGAUCAGAAAGAAAACCCCCAAGGGAAGAUUCGCCACUGAUCUUGGUGAGGAAAACGGACGAAACGACGAGACCUGAGAGACUACCCAAGAACGGAGGGAGAAGCCGCCGGCGUACCACGUGGCAACCAGCUAGAGGGCCGCGUGCGCCAAUCGCCUCCGGACACGCGUCGAGCGUCGCCUGGGAAAACGCGGCUCUAGCUCUCCUACGACACGCGUCCCUGACUUCGCGACCCGACCCGUGCUCCUCGGCUGGCCCGAUACCCGCACGGCGAACUGAACCAAGCCGACGACCCGCGGUCCACCCGAAUCACUGCUUUCGACCCGAACCCGCGACCCGCGACUGCAGAAAUCUCUGGGCGCGUGACAUUCACGCGUGGGAUCUGCGAGUGGCUGCUCCCCGGCAUGUGACUGGCGCGUGGAGGCGCGUGUAAGCUGAUUUUAGGCCUGAUCGACUUCUGUUUUCCCUAG